AGAUUCACGUAGAAUGCGUCGCAUCGAAAGGGAUACGAAGUUAUGACGCUAAGUGCAAAGAUUCGCUUUGGGAUCCAAUGCUUCCAAAUUGCGAUGGAGAAAACCAGCACAUGUCAAAUAAACAAGCAACAAUAAUGAUCGCCUCAGUGGUACCUUCGGUGGUGUUACUCGGUGUAGUAAUGGCUCUAGCUGUUCAUUGCUGUAAACUUAAAAGAAAGCAAACAGAGAAUCCGAUAGAUACAAACUAUUGCACAACAACGGAGAUGUUAAAAAGCAAAUCAAAUUACGACAUGCUUGACACAUGCACAGUGGCAGAGAAGGGCAGUGGAACGAACCGUUAACGAUGCGUCGAACACAAACGCAGUUUCAUCAAAAGCUUAGUUAACUAAUCAAUCCGUUUGAGUUUUGUCUUACAGCCUUAUUUGAUUCGAGUAGAACAAAGAUAAAUGUAAGCACGUAUGCUAUAAAAUUGCUAAGUUUGAAAAUAAAAUUGAAUUCCAAUUUUUGAAAAUAAAAAUGAUAACACGACAUCAUCCAUCGAAACAUUGUUGUUACUUUCAUUAAAUGUUUUACAUUAAGAAACAUGUUUUUAUUUGAUGUGUGGUUAUGUUUAGUAAAACUUAAAGGCAGCUUUUUUGAAACAAUGAUGAAAAAUGGAAAAACUUGGGAUGGUAUUCGAUUGGAAAAAGCAUAGGACUUCCGUUCAUUGCGGCUGUCGACGAGUUUGUUGUCGAGCAAGAUUUAUUGGAUUAUGUGACUUAAUUCGUAUCUUCUGAGGUCUCUAAAAGGAUAUGUGCAAUUAAUGCUAGUAGCUUGUGCCCGUUGAUAUCGUAAUUAUGAUAUUCUUCUCGACACUUUAUUCACCUGUUUGUCAAAGGUAUUUAUUUCUAUCUAUUUACAGACUCUCUGUACUGUUACAUGUACCAUGUUAUAA